UGGCUGCAGUAGGGAAUCUUCCACAAUGGACGAAAGUCUGAUGGAGCAACGCCGCGUGAGUGAAGAAGGUUUUCGGAUCGUAAAACUCUGUUGUGAGGGAAGAAUAAGUACGAGAGUAACUGCUCGUACCUUGACGGUACCUCAUUAGAAAGCCACGGCUAACUACGUGCCAGCAGCCGCGGUAAUACGUAGGUGGCAAGCGUUGUCCGGAAUUAUUGGGCGUAAAGCGCGCGCAGGCGGUCCUUUAAGUCUGAUGUGAAAGCCCACGGCUCAACCGUGGAAGGUCAUUGGAAACUGGGGGACUUGAGUGCAGAAGAGGAAAGUGGAAUUCCAAGUGUAGCGGUGAAAUGCGUAGAGAUUUGGAGGAACACCAGUGGCGAAGGCGACUUUCUGGUCUGUAACUGACGCUGAGGCGCGAAAGCGUGGGGAGCAAACAGGAUUAGAUACCCCUGUAGUC
rnacentral:rRNA from 1 species